rnacentral:rRNA from 1 species
UACGUAGGGACCAAGCGUUGUUCGGAUUUACUGGGCGUAAAGGGCGCGUAGGCGGCGCGGUAAGUCACUUGUGAAAUCUCUGAGCUUAACUCAGAACGGCCAAGUGAUACUGCAGUGCUAGAGUGUGGAAGGGGCAAUUGGAAUUCUUGGUGUAGCGGUGAAAUGCGUAGAUAUCAAGAGGAACACCUGAGGUGAAGACGGGUUGCUGGGCCAACACUGACGCUGAGGCGCGAAAGCCAGGGGAGCAAACGGG